CGGCGUGCCUAAUACAUGCAAGUCGAGCGAACAGACGAGGAGCUUGCUCCUCUGACGUUAGCGGCGGACGGGUGAGUAACACGUGGAUAACCUACCUAUAAGACUGGGAUAACUUCGGGAAACCGGAGCUAAUACCGGAUAAUAUAUUGAACCGCAUGGUUCAAUAGUGAAAGACGGUUUUGCUGUCACUUAUAGAUGGAUCCGCGCCGCAUUAGCUAGUUGGUAAGGUAACGGCUUACCAAGGCAACGAUGCGUAGCCGACCUGAGAGGGUGAUCGGCCACGCUGGAACUGAGACACGGUCCAGACUCCUACGGGAGGCAGCAGUAGGGAAUCUUCCGCAAUGGGCGAAAGCCUGACGGAGCAACGCCGCGUGAGUGAUGAAGGUCUUCGGAUCGUAAAACUCUGUUAUUAGGGAAGAACAAAUGUGUAAGUAACUAUGCACGUCUUGACGGUACCUAAUCAGAAAGCCACGGCUAACUACGUGCCAGCAGCCGCGGUAAUACGUAGGUGGCAAGCGUUAUCCGGAAUUAUUGGGCGUAAAGCGCGCGUAGGCGGUUUUUUAAGUCUGAUGUGAAAGCCCACGGCUCAACCGUGGAGGGUCAUUGGAAACUGGAAAACUUGAGUGCAGAAGAGGAAAGUGGAAUUCCAUGUGUAGCGGUGAAAUGCGCAGAGAUAUGGAGGAACACCAGUGGCGAAGGCGACUUUCNUGGUCUGUAACUGACGCUGAUGUGCGAAAGCGUGGGGAUCAAACAGGAUU
rnacentral:rRNA from 1 species